rfam:Rhodopseudomonas palustris CGA009 complete genome.
CUCACGCCUUCGUUAGCCGAAUUCUUAUUGCCGCCCGAUUUUCGCCCAGCGCGCGCCAAGCCCGCUUGCGAUAACGCUAUCACUGCGUUGGCCCGGUCCCUUCGGCUUCGGAUUCCUCAGCCCCCAGCCCCCCGAAGCAGUCGGGAUCGGGCCUGUACGCAGAACCUCGAUCCCCCUCCUGGGCCGACGCAAGUUGGUCCUUUU